GACGAACGCUGGCGGCGUGCUUAACACAUGCAAGUCGAACGGAAAGGCCCUGCUUUUGUGGGGUGCUCGUGUGGCGAACGGGUGAGUAGCACGUGAGUAACCUGCCCUUGACUUUGGGAUAACUUCAGGAAACUGGGGCUAAUACCGGAUAGGAGCUCCUGCUGCAUGGUGGGGGUUGGAAAGUUUCGGCGGUUGGGGCUGGACUCGCGGCUUAUCAGCUUGUUGGUGGGGUAGUUGCUUACCAAGGCUUUGACGGGUAGCCGGCCUGAGAGGGUGACCGGCAUCAUUGGGAAUGAGGAACGGAGCAGACGGAUAUGGGAGGCAGUAGUGGGGAAUAUGGCAAAAUGGGCGGAAGCGAGAUGCAGAAACGUCGCGUGCGGGAUGACGGCCUUCGGGUUGAAAACAGCUUUCGCCUGAGAAGAAGCGGGAGUGACGGUAAAGGGUAAAGAAGCACCGGCUAACUACGUG
rnacentral:rRNA from 1 species